UACAGAGGUGCCGAGCGUUAGGCGGAAUCACUGGGCUUAAAGCGUGUGUAGGCGGAUCGUUAAGUACCUUGUGAAAUCCCACGGCUCAACCGUGGAACUGCUGGGUAUACUGGCGGUCUUGAGCCACCUAGGGGCGAGCGGAACAAGCGGUGGAGCGGUGAAAUGCGUAGAUAUCGCUUGGAACGCCAACGGUGAAAACAGCUCGCUGGGGGUGUGCUGACGCUGAGGCGCGAAAGCGUGGGGAGCAAACAGG
rnacentral:rRNA from 1 species